CAGAGAGGCGAACUGGCACGAUGACUCUAUUUCCCAAGGUGGAGUCACAAAGUGAGCUCACUACAUUCAGGGCAUGUCCAGUAAUCCUCUCUUCAGCCAGGAGGGCUGUGUGACUCUGCUGUUGGGAAGCAGGCCGGCUGUUGCUCUCCUCUCAGGAUAUCCAGAACUCACUUGGGUGGGCUGAGGACGUCUUCCAGGAACUCCUCAAUCUUGUUGACGUCCGUCUUGACCUCGCCGUUGAAGGUGAUGAAGGGCGGGUGCGUGCCUGGGGCCAGAUUCUGGAGGUCUGCCGGCUUCCUGCAGGAGACAUAACAGAGCCUUUAGAAAGCUCAGAUAAAGACUGGAUGUUUUUACUUGUGAAUGUAUAAACUGAAGGUACGUAUUGGGUGGUUUUCUGACUCAGCCUAAGAGUUGAUGGGAAAGACUAAACAUUGUGUUUGACUCAUGUGAAACCUGAUUAUAUGGGUAUUGCUUGGUGGUUUCUCGUUAAAGGGCUUCUUUUCCUUGUUUUUUUCCCCCGGGGUGAAUCAUGGUCCCUGGGGACUCACAGGGUGGAAUUAACACUGUUGCCCCAGACUCCUCUGGUGCAGCACCGCCACAGCCCUGUUCCCGGAGUCCCUGCUGCUAUCGGUGUGUGUGUCUGCCUUCCCGUCUCCCUUGUGCACCGCUAGCUGGCACAUUUUCUUCCAGAUGUCUCCAGCGGACCAGAUAUGAUAACACAUAAGUGUGAGCACACAGACACACACACACACACACACACACACACACACACACACACACACACACACACACACACACACACACACACAAAUGAGCAUGUGUUAAGUGACACCACACAGGCAAAAUAUAUAAAAGACCCAUGACACAUUAUCCCUCCACCAUUCUUCUCGUCAACACUUUCCACGGCAGGGUUUGACCUUGAGAGAGAGAAGCAAAGCAAGGCUCUGUGCAGGACCCUGUCCUUUAUCAGGCAGCGCCAACCAAACCCUUGUAUCAAGUCCCUCCAUACAUGAGGAUGAAAUCUAUUCACUGUGCGCUACUACAAAAUAAGCAAUGGACUUCUAUAAUAAAGCAAGGAAUUUCAUGGGCUGAAUUUAACACCAAACAGGAAAUGUUGGCACACGCGCAGGAAGUGGCGCUCUUGGCUCAGGCCGCCAUCUUUCAUAUGUGACCUAAGUCGGGCUCCUGCUGUGGAGUCCCAUCGACGUCUGAAGCCAGCUCAACGUUGCUCUCUGCUCGCUCACAGCACUCGCAGGCCCCUCCCCCGCGCUCCGCUGACCCCAGAGCUCAGGGUCGGACAUGAAGGGAGGUUCCUCAUUGUACGACUGGAGGGAGUGGGCGGCGCCCGGUACUGCAGUGAGCUGGAUACGGUCACCGGGAAUCUGAGAUCAACAGCUUCUAAAUCACAACCAAUGGGCUGAUUUAAAAAAAAACAUCAACGGAUGUUCUGUAUUUAAAUAUGUUCUGUAAUUAAAUUAAAAUCGGCCGAUUAAAUUAUAAGCAGUGAGUGUGGCAUGUGACUUUGUGAAAAUAAAAAUCGAAUUA